UACGUAGGGUGCGAGCGUUGUCCGGAAUUAUUGGGCGUAAAGAGCGUGUAGGCGGCCAGGUAGGUCAGCUGUGAAAACUCGAGGCUCAACCUCGAGACGCCGGUUGAAACCAUCUGGCUAGAGUCCGGAAGAGGAGAGUGGAAUUCCUGGUGUAGCGGUGAAAUGCGCAGAUAUCAGGAAGAACACCCGUGGCGAAGGCGGCUCUCUAGGACGGUACUGACGCUGAGACGCGAAAGCGUGGGGAGCGAACAGG
rnacentral:rRNA from 1 species